GUCUGCGUAACUCAGUGGUAGAGUGUGAGAUUGCAACCGUUAUUUGAACGCAAACAACAAUCUUGAAGUCGCGUGUUCGAACCACGCCGCAGACU